GACCUGCGAUGCUGUAUGGGGCGGAGUGCUGGCCCGUGAAGAAUUCCCAUGUUCAGAGGAUGAGGGUCGCGGAGAUGAGGAUGCUUAGGUGGAUGUGCUAGAUAAGAUUAAGAAUGAAAUUAUUCGAGAGAAGGUGGGGGUGGCCCCGGUGGACGAGAAGAUGCGUGAAGCGCGACUGAGGUGGUUCCGGCAUGUGCGGAGGAGAAGUCGCGAUGCUCCGGUGAGGAGCUGCGAGCGGCUGGAGAUCGUUGGUGGUCGGCGCGGCAGAGGAGGCCCAAGAAGUAUUGGGGAGAGGUGAUUAGGCAGGACAUGGCUAGAAUGCAGGUUUCCNN
rnacentral:lncRNA from 1 species